rnacentral:lncRNA from 1 species
GAAGUGUUACACUCCACUAGAACUGCUUUAAAUAAGACUUCUCUCAGAGCUGCAGUCCCAGCCGUUCUCAGAUAACCCACCUGGGUAGAAUAAUGGCAGCCAUCUACUCCAACGUGAAGUUUAAAAACAAAGGGGUGAGAGAGACAGGAGAUGGGGAAUCAGGUGAAGGAAGUUCCAACACAAAUGAUGAGAUUAUAUACUCAGAAGUCCGAAUUGUACAAUCAGACAAGACAGUUGUCGUGACAACCCCUAAUGCUGAUCCCAGUCAUCCCAACCGGCCUGGAUCACAUGACCCUGCUGACUCCUCACCUGAGGCAGUGACCCCUGCCUUGGCUAAACAGAGACUGCUGCUGUGUUGUCUGUGUGCCGUCUUGUUUGCUGCAGGCCUCAUCGUUACAGUUCUCUGUGAGUCUUAUACAACUCAUAUACAAUAUACAUAUAUAUAAGUGGUUUGCAAAAGUAUUCAUGAACUUUUUCACAUUUUGUCACCUUACAACCACAAACUAUGAAUUCUAUUGAGAUUUUAAGUGAUAGACCAACACGAAAUAUCACAUAAAUGUGAAGUGAAAUUAAAA